CCUUUUCACCACUGGCCAUCUGGGUUCCGCCUCUGAGGAAAAUACCGCCGCGAAAUUGUUACUUAAUUGUGAAUUUCGGAAUUCCGUAGAUCAUCGAAUCUUUGGACCGCACAUUGCCCCCUCUGGUAUUUCCCGGGGGGCCCGCCCUUUCGAGCGUCA
rnacentral:rRNA from 1 species